rnacentral:lncRNA from 1 species
GUUUUAUUGUUUAUUUGCAGCGAAAUUAUUGCAGUAUUUAUAGUUUUAAUUUGAUUCUGAUUUUGAUCACCAAUUAUCUAAAGCAGGGAUGGUCAACACACGGGUAAGGGAAGGAUACGUGCUAAAUUUUUGUAAAAAUGUCUCUCGCGUGACGAUUAAGAUUUUAAACAUCAGCUCGUCGCGUGACAAUCAGCUCCAAGUUUUGCAUGUCCAAAAAUUUGUCACAGGUUCGUUAUCUUUGAUAUGUUAUACAGAAAUGAAUCUGAAGCAUUUAAAAAUCUUUCAGAUAUUGCAUCUAAGAUUAAAUAUCACUUCCGGAUAGCAGAUUAACCCCCGGAUAACCUGGAUUCUGGUAUGUCAUGCUGUCAAGGGGAAGAUGUAAUUGUUUUGUGACGAUAAAUGAUGUAGGGAGGGGAAGGAAUCGUGCAAAUUGUGACGUCACACUGUAAAAUGGUUAGAUUUACAUCUCAAAAAAUUUUCUAUAAAAUAUAAAAUUUGUUAAAAAAAACUAAUGUAACAUAUUUGGAGCUAUGAUUGUUAUAAAAUCUAAAAUAUGUAGGGGAGUGUAGGAUAAAGUGGCCAUUGCAUAUUACUGUUAUAUAUUCUUCUGGAAUCUGGUGGUGAAUGUCUAAAUUAUUGCAGAAGGAAGACAUUGGUUUCGAGAGUGCAUCU